rnacentral:rRNA from 1 species
GGAAACGACUGCUAAUGCCCUAUAUGCCUUUAAUACAUAAGUAUGCAAGGGGAAACGCUUUAGUGCUAGAGGAUGGGUCUGUAUGGUAUCAGUUAGUUGGUGAGGUAAUGGCUCACCAAGACUAUGACGCCUAACUGGUUUGAGAGGAUGAUCAGUCACACUGGAACUGAGACACGGUCCAGACUCCUACGGGAGGCAGCAGUGGGGAAUAUUGCACAAUGGACGAAAGUCUGAUGCAGCAACGCCGCGUGGAGGAUGACACAUUUCGGUGCGUAAACUCCUUUUAUAUAGGAAGAUAAUGACGGUACUAUAUGAAUAAGCACCGGCUAACUCCGUG